rnacentral:tRNA from 6 species
GGUAGGGUUCCCGAGCGGCCAAAGGGAGCAGACUGUAAAUCUGCCGUCAUCGACUUCGAAGGUUCGAAUCCUUCCCCCACCACCA